rnacentral:rRNA from 1 species
UGAGGAAUAUUGGUCAAUGGGCGGGAGCCUGAACCAGCCAAGUCGCGUGAGGGAAGACGGUCCUAUGGAUUGUAAACCUCUUUUGUCGGGGAGCAAAGAGGCCACGUGUGGUCAAAAGCGAGAGUACCCGAAAGAAAAAGCAUCGGCUAACUCCGUGCC